rnacentral:rRNA from 1 species
UACGUAGGGUGCAAGCGUUGUCCGGAAUUAUUGGGCGUAAAGAGCUCGUAGGCGGCUUGUCACGUCGACUGUGAAAACCCGGGGCUCAACUCCGGGCCUGCAGUCGAUACGGGCUGGCUUGAGUGCGGUAGGGGAGACCGGAAUUCCUGGUGUAGCGGUGAAAUGCGUAGAUAUCAGGAGGAACACCGGUGGCGAAGGCGGGUCUCUGGGCCGAUACUGACGCUGAGGAGCGAAAGCGUGGGGAGCGAACAGG